rnacentral:lncRNA from 1 species
AGCUAGCUAGUUAUUUUUUUAUUUAAGUAGGUAGUGAGCUAGCUAGUUAGUUAUUUAGUUAAGUAGGUAGUGAGCUAGCUAGUUAUUUUUUUAUUUAAGUAGGUAGUGAGCUAGCUAGUUAGUUAUUUAGUUAAGUAGGUAGUGAGCUAGCUAGUUAUUUUUUCAUUUAAGUAGGUAGUGAGCUAGCUAGUUAUUUUUUUAUUUACAUAGGUAGUGAGCUAGCUAGUUAGUUAUUUAGUUAAGUAGGUAGUGAGCUAGCUAGUUAUUUUUUUAUUUACAUAGGUAGUGAGCUAGCUAGUUAGUUAUUUAGUUAAUUAGUUAGCCAGUUAGUCAGUCAGCAUCCUGAAGUGAAAAUUGGAAGACAGCAAGGUGUCUAACAUCCACCAGCUCCUUGAUUUUAUGUGAGGCGUGUACUCACAUUCAUCCAUCCAUCUCCCUAUUCUCCCUAGUUUUACCCAACAAUAAAACUAGUUACAGGUUUAAUUUUUGCAUAAAUCCUCACUCUGCUGAUUCAACCCUUUCAGAGACGAUUGUGUGUGUAUGUGUGUGUGUGCGCGAGUGUGAUCUAGCAGAUGCCUUCAGCCUGCCUCGCUCUCCCUAAAAGGACCGGCACUCCUCCGCUCCCCGACCGCGGCCCAGGCAACCGUUGCCACGGCAACCACGCUGAGAUGGCAUCCUCUGACUCCAGCUGACUGACCCCAUGGACACCAUCAAACCUGCUGCAUCUUCGCCCAUACUCUCUCUCCAUUCUCCAGUGAGAAUAGCAGGCCCACACGCACCGAGGCGCAGAUGUGUCGUCUGUGACCUUUCGAUGUGGCGGUCAAGGAUUGUCGGCGAGUGGAGUGUCUUGUCACCUGCUAGAGAAUCUAACACACUUCGCUUGAUCAGCACAACAUACUACUGUCAUGUUGUCCUUGGGGCAGGAUGGCGAGUGUGAGUUGUGAGAGUGCUAGUGAACGCUAAUAGCCUCUGACAGACACGACCACAGCCUUCUGCUGGUCAAUGCCUGAUCUCCUCUGCAGCGCGGCGAGGCUGUGCUGAUGCUACGCCUCGGCGGGCGGGUGCAGACAGGGAGCUUUCAACAUCAGACACUGUUCAACACCCUGGAUAAAGGGUGUCAUCACAAACACACAAACACACACACACUUCUUUAUGUGUGAAUACUGAAGUCUGUGAAGGAACAUGAAAGAAAUUA